AUUGAACGCUGGCGGCAGGCCUAACACAUGCAAGUCGAGCGGGGUUUUCGGACCUAGCGGCGGACGGGUGAGUAAUGCGUAGGAAGCUACCCGAUAGAGGGGGAUACCAGUUGGAAACGACUGUUAAUACCGCAUAAUGUCUACGGACCAAAGUGUGGGACCUUCGGGCCACAUGCUAUCGGAUGCGCCUACGUGGGAUUAGCUAGUUGGUGAGGUAAUGGCUCACCAAGGCGACGAUCCCUAGCUGGUUUGAGAGGAUGAUCAGCCACACUGGAACUGAGACACGGUCCAGACUCCUACGGGAGGCAGCAGUGGGGAAUAUUGGAUAAUGGGCGCAAGCCUGAUCCAGCCAUGCCGCAUGUGUGAAGAAGGCCUUCGGGUUGUAAAGCACUUUCAGUAGGGAGGAAGCGUUGUGUGUUAAUAGUACACAGCGUUGACGUUACCUACAGAAGAAGCACCGGCUAACUCUGUGCCAGCCGCCGCGGUAA
rnacentral:rRNA from 1 species